UUUCAGAUCUCCCAAGUAGCACCUCUGGCUACUUGGUUCCCAACUCUGCACUCCCGUUUAGGUGCCUUCUUUGAUUUCAAUCCUAAGGGAGGCGCACAUCCUCAUGCUCUAACUAACUCUCCAGGCCCAUACAGAAAACCAAGCUGGUUCUAUGUUUGCCCAGGGCCCGGAAUGCCAAAAUACAAGUCCCAGAGAAGCAGGUGUGGAGAGGACAGCACUACUUAUUGCGCUCAAUGGGGCUGUGAGACAACGGAACACAUAUGGUGGACCCCUCAGGGAGAAGAUCUUAUUAAGGCUGAAAGUAACAGAAUGGUUACAGCUGUAUUGUGUGAAGAACUCUGCAGAAGCUGGAGUGGCUACAGGAACAGAAAACAGGGAAACACUUCCCAAUUCAUUCUGUUAAUCCACCACCUUGACACCAGAUCGAGUCAAAGACAUCACACAACAACAACAACAAAAUCAAGGUCUUUUGUGAAUACAGACUCAGGAUUCAGCUGGUCUGCAUUUCCCUUUGGAGGUUCUAAGGAGAAUUCACUUUCAACUUUAGACCAGCACAUUCCCUCCAUUCCUGCUGACUCAGGGGUGAUAUGGCAGGGAAGACCUCAUUAGAUGCCAAGACAUGGAUAUUGGAACAUCUCACCUUACCAAACUGGAAGAAAUAAAUUUCUUUUCUUGAAAAGGACAAAAUGCAACAACCAACCAAUCAAUCAAACAAACAGAAAAGAAAAUAGGGGCCUGUGAGAUGGGUCAGUAGGUAACCGUACUUUCCAUGCAAGUCUAAUGACCUGAGUUCAAUCCCCAGAACCCAAGUACAGGUGGAGAGAACUGACUCUGCAAAGCUGUAC